rnacentral:antisense_RNA from 1 species
AACACGUUAUCCAUCUUGGGAUAAUGUCAUCCGAAAUUAAUCUCAAGGU